rnacentral:rRNA from 1 species
UAGGGAAUUUUGGACAAUGGGCGAAAGCCUGAUCCAGCAACGCCGCGUGCGCGAUGAAGGCCUUCGGGUUGUAAAGCGCUUUUAGAGGAGAUGAGAAAGGACAGUAUCCUCUGAAUAAGCCUCGGCGAACUACGUGCCAGCAGCCGCGGUAAAACGUAGGAGGCUAGCGUUAUCCGGAUUUAUUGGGCGUAAAGCGUGUGCAGGCGGUUAUGCAAGUUGGAUGUGAAAGCUCCUGGCUUAACUGGGAGAGGUCGUUCGAAACUGCAUGACUAGAGAAUGGGAGAGGGAGGUGGAAUUCCGGAUGUAGUGGUGAAAUGCGUAGAUAUCCGGAGGAACACCAGUGGCGAAAGCGGCCUCCUGGACCAUUUCUGACGCUCAGACACGAAAGCUAGGGUAGCAAACGG